GCAGAGACUGAAACAAAGCACACACUACGAGAAAAUAUGAGCGUUUGUUGUACGCUGACCCGAACAAAGAGUGUGGUGUCGUGGCGAAUGUGUUGGAGCUACUGGAACUCUCUUGUUUGUGGCUGGAACAGCAGGGGCUUAUUCAGGGGGGCAUCAUACGACACAUGGGAACUGAGUACAGCAAAGGUAAACAAGGUCUUUAAUCAGUCAGCGGGCGUUUGAAACUAGAGGACAGUCCAGAAAAUGCCAGAUGUGGGUGGAGAGCGCUUGCAGUUUGUAUAGGAGGUUAUAAGUAGAGGAGUGAACAGUGCCGGGAAUACGGAGCAGAGCUCAGCUGUUGCAUGGGUCUCAUCUGACUCCAUUUGUCACAGCUCAUCUUCCAGUUCUUCUCAUCGACUGCCCUCCUCGUUGCAUUUGUCUGGUCCCUCUGCACAGCCAUGCACCCCCAGCGUCCUCUUCCCCAGGCCAUGCCUUCCGCCUCUCUGGGACAGCACCUGCGGGACAUGGCCAUGGGCCUGGGACGAGGCAAGAACUUCCUGGGAGGAAACUUUGCCUACAGUUUUAUCCAGUCGGUUAAAGAAUGCCUCUAUUUCCUCCUCUGCUGCUGGUGCAUCAAAGAGAUCCUGGACUGACAGACUGAGAGAAAAGGGUACAUCAAGUGGUAGAGCACAGAUUUUUCCUUGUUUCUCCACUGGGUCCUGUAUUGUAAUUUCAACCAGCUUUUAUUUCAUCAGAAAUGGGAGUGUUAUAUGGUAAAGCCUUGGCAGGAAGGGAGGUCUUUUGGGGUUCGAGGAAGCUUGCCAGCAGGUUUCAAGAUGAUACAGACUUUAUAUCCGGACUGGGUUAGAGUUUUCUGAAUUGUACCCUGAUGAUCUGAGAUUCCCAGGACUGUGGCUCACCUGAUGUUCACUGUACAACACAAAGUGGUGUGGCAAUAAAUAAAGGAACUCAUAAACAGAAAAAA